rnacentral:lncRNA from 1 species
GCCACUUGCCUGGCCACUCCUCUGCUUCCACUGAUAGGUCACAUCCACCGCCACAAGCACCUGCAGGGCAUUAAAAUAAAAGGACAAUAGUAAUAAAAAUGCUGGUAAAUGGCUAUAAAAGCCAAAUGAAAAUGUAUUUUCUUCUUCUUCGGAAACCUUUUUACAUCAAUAGACUAAUACACAAAGCAGUGAUCUCAAUAAUAUCAAAGCACGAGUUUAGCGCUAAAUCCAGCAACCAAAUACCAAAGUCAUUAUCGCGAGACUAAGGUGAUUUUAGUUUCUCUGUUUUCGUUUGAUCUACGAAUUUAUUCACUCUUAUAUUCAUACAUGCAUCAAAUAUAAAAAAAGGGGAGAUCAAACACCCAUUUAAAACGCAAAAAAAGGGUAAAAAUAUAUAUAUACCUUCGGAGUUCCGGCCACCGCGCACGGUGGCCGGCGGCGGCGGAUCGGCAACGGUAGUGGUGCGUGGUGGCCCUCUUGGUCGGAAUCUGGGGUUUUCCCAGAGAGAAAGAGAGAACUCUUCCCUUUUUUU